AUGCCCAAAUAUCAAGGAGGCCUCGGCUUUAGGGACACUGAGUUAUCCAACCUAGCAAUGCUAGCAAAGCAAGGCUGGAGGCUUAUCCAAGAACCAAAUUCUUUAAGUGCGAAGAUUCUACGUGCAGUUUACUACCCGGACGGUGAUGUUCUCGCAGCUGAGCUGGGCGACCACCCAUCCCAAGUGUGGCGGGCGAUAUGUGCUGGAUUAUCGGUUCUAAAACAGGGCUUGAUAAGGAGGGUUGGAGAUGGUCAAUCGAUCAAAAUCUGGGAUGAUAAUUGGAUUUCGAGGGAAAAUUUGUUGAGAGCUCUUCACCCAAUGUCAGCUGACCCACCGGUGUAUGUGAGUGAAAUGAUUGAUGCAACGACAAAGGCUUGGGAUCACCAGAAAGUUCAUGAACAUCUGCAGCCUCCGGACGCUGAAUUGAUUCUGAAGAUUCCGUUGAGCACACGGAACAUAGCAGACAGCUGGGCAUGGCACUAUGAGCGGUCUGGUCUCUUCACUGUCCGCUCUGCGUACAGACUUUUGGUUGACACGAAGAGGAGGAGAGAAGAUUGGCUAGAGGGACGGCCUAAUACGUCUGAUGUGUCUACUACCCAGGGGCAAUGGAAGAAGCUUUGGAGAGUAAAAGUUCCUAGUGCGGUGAGACAUUUUGCUUGGCGCCUGGCCAAGAAUUCUGUACCUACAGAAUCUGUUCGACACCACCGCAAGAUGACUGAUGAAGCAUUAUGA
rnacentral:rRNA from 1 species